AGAGCCUAGAAAAUAUCACCUAGUGAAUAUCUACUUCCAUGAGGUGGAUAUUGAGGGAGAAACAGAAAAAUCCAAGACAAUCCCUUGUGGAAGAAAAUUCUCCAACCCAAAACUCAACCGAACUCAAAGGGCUGAACAGCGCGUCAAUUAAGACCUGUCAAAUAUAAUCACACGAUCUAAUAGUUUUAAAUACGCAAAAUAAAGAGC
ensembl:lncRNA novel transcript